UUAAUUCGUUAUGGCCUCCAAACUGGUAAAUCAAAUGCUCCCAUCUAGAAAGAAAUCAAACAUUACUUCAAUACAUACAAGUCAAAAUUAUCACUAUCCUUAAAUGCUAAUUUAAAAAUACAUUCUCUAAAAAUUUCUUUAUACCUAGUCAUUGGUAUUUGGGCUUUAAAAAAAUGGCAUAUUACUUACUAACUAGCCUGAUAAAUCAAAUAAUGUUUAAUAAUACCAUUUAAGUAUUUGAACUUAAAAUAUUUGAUUCAAUUAAAUAAUGCACAAAUGGUAACAACAUCAACAUUGUUUUCAGGAGAGAGAGUGGCCAUGGCUGGUGUGGCUCAGCUGGUUGGAGUGUCAUCCUGUACACCAAAAGGUGGCUGGUUCAAUUCCUGGUCAGGGCACAUACCCAGUUUGUAGGUUAGAUCCCCAUUCAGGGUAUGUACAGGAGGUGGCCGAUCAAUGCUUCUCUCUCUCUCUGUCUCUCUCUCAUUCUCUUUCCAAAAAAAGUAACAACAAUAAACUUUUUUAAGAAAAAAAAUGAGGGUGAUUUAUGACCACAGAGAGUAGAAUUACAGAGUCACUCUCUUCUGUUGAAGGUGAGGUCCAAGAGCUGGGAUAGGUUCACUAGAGUGAGGGAUCGAAGAUAUAGAACAAGAAGACUCAAACUGUCACAUGGGAGACCCAGAUGGCAGCAGACUGUGGGCCAGAUGCAUGACCAUUGGCUGAGAUGGAAGAGAAAAGCGUCAGAGGAAAGUAACAAGAGGGCAACUGCUUCCUGGGACAUUUCUCCAACACAGCACAGCAAAUAAUGGUGACUGAUGGCCCGGGCUCCCAGCUCAGCCCCGAGCUAAGCAGAAUGAACAGAGAGAAAAAGAUUUAACCAACAGCAACAACAAAUUAAUAAAGUGCCAUAAAACUGCUUUUCCUGCCAAGAUAAAUAGCACUCUCUUAUGAAGAUUUCCUGUCAACUACCUUUCACAAGCACAAGCCCCAAAAUGGAUAAAAGGAUGAAAAGUGGUAUGUUAAGAAGACAUAUUCCAAGGAGAGGAGAGGAGACAAUAUUUGACAUUGCACUACGGCCCAGGGCAGGUGCAGUCCCCCCAACACCAGGGCAGGAAAGGCCCCUCAUCAGCAGCUGGCUCAGGUCUAAGAGCGUCGGGACCACAGGACAGACUAUGCUCCCCCAGAAGAGUUCCUUUCUGACCUUGGAAUCACCCUCACUUUCCCAAACUUGAUUUGCUCAUCCCGGGUGUUGACCUCUAUUGAUUUAAUUCACCAGUCACUCUCUACGGCCAAAGAAGGCCGCUCCUGUCUUUGAACAAACUAGGUAAGUUUUCCAUAACCUGAGUGUUGACAAAGGAAAAGCCAAAAGUCAACUGUACCUCCGCAGCCUUCAUCGGGUGGAGUUCAUCCCCAUGGAAGUUAAUCUGUAACCCUAUAUCUUUUCCACCUUGAAGAAUCCUUCUGGUAGAAUCCAGGUCAAAGACACCCUUCUCACAGAACACAUCUAUAUUGUCAACGUGAAUCUGCCCACUUCUGCCAAGUUCCUUCAGCUUUGGGAGGUGGUUAUUGAUGAUGUCAUCAGCAGCUUCAGUAGCAGUUUUCCCUCUGAGGGAAGAAAAGAAUAUUUCCAUGGGCAAAUAUAUUUUUUAACUGGAAGAAGGGUUUCUUGGUGCUUGGAGAACCUGAGAAACUGUAGGUAAAUAACCUCAAGCCUCAGAAAAGUACAGAAAGAAUCAAAGCUAUUAACAAUUGUGAUAUGCCUACGCAGCAGAGGUAUUGAUAAGACUUCUAUAUGCCCUGACCCUAUUCACAGAGACUCAAAUGGCUCAUCCAUUCUGGCACACCAGUGUUGCCUUUGGGAAUGCUGGCAAGGUCAUCUGGCUGAAAAAACAGAAUCUACUUUUCAAGGGCACCUAGAGGGCAUCCUGAAGGCAUCCCUGACAACCCAACUGCAGGCCUCUUACCUGAGUCCCAGCUAUCACCCUGUCUUUUUCUUCCUCUACACUAUUUCUAAAAGCAUCUCCCUAAGGCUUCCUGUCUCACCAUUUGGGGACAUGGAAGAAGAGGCUAGUAGAAGGACCAAAAAUUCUCAAUGAGAUUCUGGGGUAGUUAUAUAUUAGGAAGGGCUGGGCUUUUGCAGUCAAAUACACACAGAGCUCUACCGCUUGCUAGCUACCUAACUCUUUGGACACGUGAUUUAGCUGUCCUUUGGCAUACUCUGAGCCUCAGGCUUUAUCACUGGGCACCAAGACGCAGACCUCAGAGGCUCACUGGCAGAUGGAGAAACCUCUAAAACUUUAGUCCCAUAAUUGGCACAUAGAAGCCUCUCAUUCAGUGAAAACCAUUCAGGUGGGUAGAUAGAGGAGAUGGGCACUUAUAUAUAAUUCUCAAGAUAAUCGUAUAAAAUAGGGUGUUAUGUAGCUAUUUUAUAGAUUAGUAAUUCAUGUUCAAAAAGUUAGAAGAUGCCUCAAAAUCACCCAACUGGAAGUAGUUAAGCUGGAUUCAGACCCAGGUCUGCUACCACUCCAAAGUUUGAGUCUUUUCUACCAUGUCACACUGUCCUUUUACAAAAAAACAAAAACAAAAAACAGGCCAUCACACACCUUAUACUCCAUUUGAAAAAAAUCUGUUUCUAUAGACAGGCUCUUCCCAGAAGUCUUAGGGCAGUUUCAAGCUUUAAUAAUUUCAGAAAUAUAAAUGCUAAAGACAUACAAUAAACGUAAUUGGAAAUA